GACCGCAGUGGGUCAGUACGGCUGGACCAGGGCGUGGGCGGCGCCCGGUACGCCGGUCCUCAGGAGUUCGUCCUCCUCGGCGGUCG
rnacentral:tRNA from 2 species